CUAAAACGACUCUCGGCAACGGAUAUCUCGGCUCUCGCAUCGAUGAAGAACGUAGCGAAAUGCGAUACUUGGUGUGAAUUGCAGAAUCCCGUGAACCAUCGAGUCUUUGAACGCAAGUUGCUCCCCAAGCCUUCUGGCCGACGGCACGUCUGCCUGGGUGUCACA
rnacentral:rRNA from 1 species